rnacentral:tRNA from 1 species
GCUAAAGUAUUUUAUUAAAAAUAUUGGUUUGUGGUGCCAUUGAAGUGAAUUUGUUUUACCUUUAGUC